AUUGAACGCUGGCGGCAGGCCUAACACAUGCAAGUCGAGCGGAUGACGGGAGCUUGCUCCUUGAUUCAGCGGCGGACGGGUGAGUAAUGCCUAGGAAUCUGCCUGGUAGUGGGGGACAACGUUUCGAAAGGAACGCUAAUACCGCAUACGUCCUACGGGAGAAAGCAGGGGACCUUCGGGCCUUGCGCUAUCAGAUGAGCCUAGGUCGGAUUAGCUAGUUGGUGGGGUAAUGGCUCACAAAGGCGACGAUCCGUAACUGGUCUGAGAGGAUGAUCAGUCACACUGGAACGGAGACACGGUCCAGACUCCGACGGGAGGCAGCAGUGGGGAAUAUUGGACAAUGGGCGAAAGCCUGAUCCGGCCAUGCCGCGUGUGUGAAGAAGGUCUUCGGAUUGUAAAGCACUUUAAGUUGGGAGGAAGGGCAGUAAGUUAAUACCUUGCUGUUUUGACGUUACCGACAGAAUAAGCACCGGCUAACUCUGUGCCAGCAGCCGCCGUAAGAC
rnacentral:rRNA from 1 species